AGGCAUUACGGCAGCUACCAUGCAGUCGAGCGGUAGCACAGAGAGCUUGCUCUCGGGUGACGAGCGGCGGACGGGUGAGUAAUGUCUGGGAAACUGCCUGAUGGAGGGGGAUAACUACUGGAAACGGUAGCUAAUACCGCAUAACGUCGCAAGACCAAAGAGGGGGACCUUCGGGCCUCUUGCCAUCAGAUGUGCCCAGAUGGGAUUAGCUAGUAGGUGGGGUAACGGCUCACCUAGGCGACGAUCCCUAGCUGGUCUGAGAGGAUGACCAGCCACACUGGAACUGAGACACGGUCCAGACUCCUACGGGAGGCAGCAGUGGGGAAUAUUGCACAAUGGGCGCAAGCCUGAUGCAGCCAUGCCGCGUGUAUGAAGAAGGCCUUCGGGUUGUAAAGUACUUUCAGCGGGGAGGAAGGUGCUGAGGUUAAUAACCUCAGCAAUUGACGUUACCCGCAGAAGAAGCACCGGCUAACUCCGUGCCAGCAGCCGCGGUAAUACGGAGGGUGCAAGCGUUAAUCGGAAUUACUGGGCGUAAAGCGCACGCAGGCGGUCUGUCAAGUCGGAUGUGAAAUCCCCGGGCUCAACCUGGGAACUGCAUUCGAAACUGGCAGGCUAGAGUCUUGUAGAGGGGGGUAGAAUUCCAGGUGUAGCGGUGAAAUGCGUAGAGAUCUGGAGGAAUACCGGUGGCGAAGGCGGCCCCCUGGACAAAGACUGACGCUCAGGUGCGAAAGCGUGGGGAGCAAACAGGAUUAGAUACCCUGGUAGUCCACGCCGUAAACGAUGUCGACUUGGAGGUUGUGCCCUUGAGGCGUGGCUUCCGGAGCUAACGCGUUAAGUCGACCGCCUGGGGAGUACGGCCGCAAGGUUAAAACUCAAAUGAAUUGACGGGGGCCCGCACAAGCGGUGGAGCAUGUGGUUUAAUUCGAUGCAACGCGAGAACCUUACCUACUCUUGACAUCCAGAGAACUUACCAGAGAUGCAUUGGUGCCUUCGGGAACUCUGAGACAGUGCUGCAUGGCUGUCGUCAGCUCGUGUUGUGAAAUGUUGGGUAAGUCCCGCAACGAGCGCACCCUUAUCCUUUGUUGCCAGCGGUCCGGCCGGGAACUCAAAGGAG
rnacentral:rRNA from 1 species